rnacentral:rRNA from 1 species
UAGUCUCGCACAGAUGCAUAUCAAUAAGCGGAGGAAAAGAAACUAACAAGGAUUCCCCUAGUAACGGCGAGUGAAGCGGGAAGAGCUCAAAUUUGAAAUCUUAAAGGGUUUCCCUUUACGAAUUGUAGUUUAAAGAAGUGUUUUCUGUUGAGGUUUUGGUAAAAGUUCUUUGGAAUAGGACAUCAUAGAGGGUGAGAAUCCCGUAUUUGACCUUUACUUUCAACUUUGUGAUACACUUUCAAAGAGUCGGAUUGUUUGGGAAUGCAGUCCAAAAUGGGUGGUAAAUUUCAUCUAAAGCUAAAUAUUGGCGAGAGACCGAUAGCGAACAAGUACCGUGAGGGAAAGAUGAAAAGAACUUUGAAAAGAGAGUUAAACAGUACGUGAAAUUGUCAAAAGGGAAGCGUUUGACACCAGUGUUGUUUUUCUGAAAAUCAAUUAAAGAACUGUUUAUGCUAAGUUGUUUAGACUUUAUCAGCUAAUCUGCUUAGUUUUGAGCUUUUCUUUAAUGCACUUUUCAGUUAACAAGUCAACAUCAAUUUCUUUUGCUGUAAAAAAGCUUGAGGAAGGUGGCUUGAGAUUCGUCUUAAGUGUUUAUAGCCUCUUGCCUAUGCAGUCGGAGAGAUUGAGGUCUGCAGCGUAGAUCCUUCGGGGCUAAAUGCAUUUGUGCUAAGUUAUAACAUUUUAUAGACAACUUGUUGACUAUGAUUUGUCUUGUAGCUUACUCGCUUAUGUUAUUUUACCUACGCUUAGGAUGUUGACGCAUGAGAUAUACGC